rnacentral:rRNA from 1 species
UUUGUAUGUACCGUACGAAUAAGAUCGGCUAACUCCGUGCCAGCAGCGCGGUAAUACGGAGGAGUCCGAGCGUUAUCCGGUAUUUAGUUGGGUUUAAGGGUGCGUAGGUGGAUUGAUAAGUCAGUGGUGAAAGUUUGCAGCUUAACUGUAAAAUUGCCGUUGAAACUGUCGGUCUUGAGUGCAAAUGAGGUAGGCGGAAUGCGUCGUGUAGCGGUGAAAUGCUUAGAUAUGACGCAGAACUCCGAUUGCGAAGGCAGCUUACUGGGAUGCAACUGACACUGAGGCACGAAAGCGUGGGUAUCAAACAGGAUUAGAUACCCUGGUAGUCCACGCAGUAAACGAUGAAUACUAGCUGUCUGCGAUAUACAGUAGGCGGCACAGCGAAAGCGUUAAGUAUUCCACCUGGGGAGUACGUUCGCAAGAAUGAAACUCAAAGGAAUUGACGGGGGC